UACGGAAGGGGCAAGCGUUGUUCGGAUUCAUUGGGCGUAAAGGGUGUGUAGGUGGCGCCGUAAGUCGGGUGUGAAAUUUCGGAGCUUAAUUCCGAAACUGCAUUCGAUACUGCGGUGCUUGAGGACUGGAGAGGAGACUGGAAUUCAUGGUGUAGCGGUGAAAUGCGUAGAGAUCAUGAGGAAGACCAGUGGCGAAGGCGGGUCUCUGGACAGUUCCUGACACUGAGACACGAAGGCCAGGGGAGCAAACGGG
rnacentral:rRNA from 1 species